GGUUAAGUGACUAAGCGUACACGGUGGAUGCCCUGGCAGUCAGAGGCGAUGAAGGACGUGCUAAUCUGCGAUAAGCGUCGGUAAGGUGAUAUGAACCGUUAUAACCGGCGAUUUCCGAAUGGGGAAACCCAGUGUGAUUCGUCACACUAUCAUUAACUGAAUCCAUAGGUUAAUGAGGCGAACCGGGGGAACUGAAACAUCUAAGUACCCCGAGGAAAAGAAAUCAACCGAGAUUCCCCCAGUAGCGGCGAGCGAACGGGGAGCAGCCCAGAGCCUGAAUCAGUGUGUGUGUUAGUGGAAGCGUCUGGAAAGGCGCGCGAUACAGGGUGACAGCCCCGUACACAAAAAUGCACAUAUUGUGAGCUCGAUGAGUAGGGCGGGACACGUGGUAUCCUGUCUGAAUAUGGGGGGACCAUCCUCCAAGGCUAAAUACUCCUGACUGACCGAUAGUGAACCAGUACCGUGAGGGAAAGGCGAAAAGAACCCCGGCGAGGGGAGUGAAAAAGAACCUGAAACCGUGUACGUACAAGCAGUGGGAGCCUCUUUAUGGGGUGACUGCGUACCUUUUGUAUAAUGGGUCAGCGACUUAUAUUCUGUAGCAAGGUUAACCGAAUAGGGGAGCCGAAGGGAAACCGAGUCUUAACUGGGCGUUAAGUUGCAGGGUAUAGACCCGAAACCCGGUGAUCUAGCCAUGGGCAGGUUGAAGGUUGGGUAACACUAACUGGAGGACCGAACCGACUAAUGUUGAAAAAUUAGCGGAUGACUUGUGGCUGGGGGUGAAAGGCCAAUCAAACCGGGAGAUAGCUGGUUCUCCCCGAAAGCUAUUUAGGUAGCGCCUCGUGAAUUCAUCUCCGGGGGUAGAGCACUGUUUCGGCAAGGGGGUCAUCCCGACUUACCAACCCGAUGCAAACUGCGAAUACCGGAGAAUGUUAUCACGGGAGACACACGGCGGGUGCUAACGUCCGUCGUGAAGAGGGAAACAACCCAGACCGCCAGCUAAGGUCCCAAAGUCAUGGUUAAGUGGGAAACGAUGUGGGAAGGCCCAGACAGCCAGGAUGUUGGCUUAGAAGCAGCCAUCAUUUAAAGAAAGCGUAAUAGCUCACUGGUCGAGUCGGCCUGCGCGGAAGAUGUAACGGGGCUAAACCAUGCACCGAAGCUGCGGCAGCGACGCUUAUGCGUUGUUGGGUAGGGGAGCGUUCUGUAAGCCUGUGAAGGUGUGCUGUGAGGCAUGCUGGAGGUAUCAGAAGUGCGAAUGCUGACAUAAGUAACGAUAAAGCGGGUGAAAAACCCGCUCGCCGGAAGACCAAGGGUUCCUGUCCAACGUUAAUCGGGGCAGGGUGAGUCGACCCCUAAGGCGAGGCCGAAAGGCGUAGUCGAUGGGAAACAGGUUAAUAUUCCUGUACUUGGUGUUACUGCGAAGGGGGACGGAGAAGGCUAUGUUGGCCGGGCGACGGUUGUCCCGGUUUAAGCGUGUAGGCUGGUUUUCCAGGCAAAUCCGGAAAAUCAAGGCUGAGGCGUGAUGACGAGGCACUACGGUGCUGAAGCAACAAAUGCCCUGCUUCCAGGAAAAGCCUCUAAGCAUCAGGUAACAUCAAAUCGUACCCCAAACCGACACAGGUGGUCAGGUAGAGAAUACCAAGGCGCUUGAGAGAACUCGGGUGAAGGAACUAGGCAAAAUGGUGCCGUAACUUCGGGAGAAGGCACGCUGAUAUGUAGGUGAAGUCCCUUGCGGAUGGAGCUGAAAUCAGUCGAAGAUACCAGCUGGCUGCAACUGUUUAUUAAAAACACAGCACUGUGCAAACACGAAAGUGGACGUAUACGGUGUGACGCCUGCCCGGUGCCGGAAGGUUAAUUGAUGGGGUCAGCGCAAGCGAAGCUCUUGAUCGAAGCCCCGGUAAACGGCGGCCGUAACUAUAACGGUCCUAAGGUAGCGAAAUUCCUUGUCGGGUAAGUUCCGACCUGCACGAAUGGCGUAAUGAUGGCCAGGCUGUCUCCACCCGAGACUCAGUGAAAUUGAACUCGCUGUGAAGAUGCAGUGUACCCGCGGCAAGACGGAAAGACCCCGUGAACCUUUACUAUAGCUUGACACUGAACAUUGAGCCUUGAUGUGUAGGAUAGGUGGGAGGCUUUGAAGUGUGGACGCCAGUCUGCAUGGAGCCGACCUUGAAAUACCACCCUUUAAUGUUUGAUGUUCUAACGUUGACCCGUAAUCCGGGUUGCGGACAGUGUCUGGUGGGUAGUUUGACUGGGGCGGUCUCCUCCUAAAGAGUAACGGAGGAGCACGAAGGUUGGCUAAUCCUGGUCGGACAUCAGGAGGUUAGUGCAAUGGCAUAAGCCAGCUUGACUGCGAGCGUGACGGCGCGAGCAGGUGCGAAAGCAGGUCAUAGUGAUCCGGUGGUUCUGAAUGGAAGGGCCAUCGCUCAACGGAUAAAAGGUACUCCGGGGAUAACAGGCUGAUACCGCCCAAGAGUUCAUAUCGACGGCGGUGUUUGGCACCUCGAUGUCGGCUCAUCACAUCCUGGGGCUGAAGUAGGUCCCAAGGGUAUGGCUGUUCGCCAUUUAAAGUGGUACGCGAGCUGGGUUUAGAACGUCGUGAGACAGUUCGGUCCCUAUCUGCCGUGGGCGCUGGAGAACUGAGGGGGGCUGCUCCUAGUACGAGAGGACCGGAGUGGACGCAUCACUGGUGUUCGGGUUGUCAUGCCAAUGGCACUGCCCGGUAGCUAAAUGCGGAAGAGAUAAGUGCUGAAAGCAUCUAAGCACGAAACUUGCCCCGAGAUGAGUUCUCCCUGACCCUUUAAGGGUCCUGAAGGAACGUUGAAGACGACGACGUUGAUAGGCCGGGUGUGUAAGCGCAGCGAUGCGUUGAGCUAACCGGUACUAAUGAACCGUGAGGCUUAACCUU
rnacentral:rRNA from 1 species